rnacentral:rRNA from 1 species
GUGUCUCAAGGCUAAGCCAUGCACGUCUAAGUACAAACUAAAUGAUGGUGAAACUGCAAAUGGCUCAUUACAACGGUUAUGAUGUACCCGGGAGUUCCGAUGGAUAUUUCCAGUAACACUAGAACUAAUACAUGUCCCUGCGUUUAUUAGUUUCGCACAGUCCGUCGCUGAGUCAUGGUAAACAGUUGAUCGACUCGACGUCCCGGAACAGUUUCCGCCCCAUCAGCUUCGAUGGUUGGGUAUUGGCCUACCAUUGCAACAACGGGUAACGAGGAAUUAGGGUUUGAUUUCGGAGAGGGAGCCUGAGAAACGGCUACCACAUCUACGGAUGGCAGCAGGCGCGCAAAUUACCCAAUGCAGACACUGUGAGGUAGUGACGAGAAAUAAUAAAGCGGGACUUCUGUUUCGCUAUUAUAAUGAGGAAUAACCAAAGGUCAUUCCGAUUAGCAACUGAUGGGAAAGUCUGGUGCCAGCAGCCGCGGUAAUACCAGCGUCAGUAG